GAUGAAGAACGUAGCGAAAUGCGAUAAGUAAUGUGAAUUGCAGAAUUCAGUGAAUCAUCGAAUCUUUGAACGCACCUUGCGCCCUUUGGCCAUUCCGAAGGGCAUGCCUGUUUGAGUAUCAUGAACACCUCAACUCUUCAUGGUUUUCCAUGAUGAGCUUGGACUUUGGGGGUCUUGCUGGCCUGUGGGUCGGCUCCUCUCAAAUGAAUCAGCUUGCCGGUUUUUGGUGGGCAUCACAGGUGUGAUAACUAUCUACGCUUGAGAUUUUCCACCAGGGUAACCUUCAGCAGUGGAGGUUCACUGGAGCUUACAAAUGUCUCUCCUCUGUGAGGACAGCCCUUUGAAUGUUUGAUCUCAAAUCAGGUAGGACUACCCGCUGAACUUAAGCAUAUCAAUAAGCGGAGGA
rnacentral:misc_RNA from 1 species